GGAGAAAAUGGUUGAGAUUCAGUAUUCCUUUAUCUGCUUCAUUUUCUGUUUCAGUUUAUUUUUUCAGGAUCUUUCUCUAUUGCAGCCAGAACACAAUCGAUCCACAAGCGUGUUUGGAUAGACUUUGCCAGUGCUACAAUCACAGUAGUGGGGGUUGUUUUACUCUCGAUAAAUUUAGUAUUUAAUAAUAAGGUAUUGAAGAAUUGCCUCCUCGCAGAAUCACCAGACUCAUUAUGCCUUUACAUAACCUCUUCAAACAAUGGAAUGUUGUCUCUAAUGCUGAUCUUUACCUUGCUGGAAUCCUGCGUGGCCAUCUCUAUGACAAUCAUGUGGUGUAAAGGAAAACAACUGGAAUCGUCACAGGUGACUUCUUCACCUCCUGAUCAUGUGGAGUAACAAAUUCCUCCUGAUGACAGAGUAUCUGAAAGCAAGGAAAGUCAGUCUCAAAGCUCCAGUGAGUGACAGCGUCCUCUAUGAACUCAGGAGAACAUGGCCCAGGAAGUGAAGACCUAGCACCAAUCUUCAGAAACUUGGACAUUCCACUUAAUCCUUUGUGUUCUAACUCUGAGUCCUAUUAUGUCCUGGAUAUGGAAGGACAAACAUGCUCCUUAAACCAUUACUGGUUUUGUAACUCCUAUAAUCACAUUCCAAAGUUGUCCCCAGAAAUACGUUCUCUUUCUUCCUACCCACUUGCUCCUUUGUUCUAUAAAGUUUAAAGAAGGCAGGCAGAACAAUCCAUAUCUCAUGUAUUCUCCCUAAAAUACCACUGCCAAACACCCACUGAGAAAGCAGAUGGAUAAUUUUUCUUCAUUAAGUAAAGAUGUUUCUUGGCUUUAGCUGACAUCAGUGUUGCAAAUAUAGUCAAAUAAACAAAAAUCAUCAUCAUUAAGAUGAAUUUUCACUCUAUUUGAGGUAGGAGGGUCAAGUCUCACAGGAGUUAUUUCAAUCGGCUGCUGAGAUUCACGAAUGUCCUUUAAUAAUAUAAUGAUGUAAUGAUACAUAUCCAUGGUAUAGAAUGGGAACUUUGGAGUAACAUCAACAUUUGUCAACAUCCAUCAUUUGAAGGAUGAUGAGAAGUAGAAGGAAGAAGUAAUGUCUAAGGGCUUGGGAAUCUCAUAGAUCUGUGUUUAGAUUCUGAUACUGUCACUUACUACCUGUGUGAAUUUGAGCAAGUUACUUGACCUCUCUGACUUGUUUUUCCUCAUUUGUAAAAUGGGUGUAAUAAUGCCAACCUCCUCAGGUGUCAUGAUAGUUAAAUGAAGGCACAGCGAAUGUGCCCCCCACCUGCUCACUGAUGCUGUUGCUGCUGGUCCUACACCCUCCUGUGACGUCAGCGGCCAUCUUUAAAAUGGUGGUAAUUUGAUAUAAAAGCUCCUGAUACAUCUGUUUGAUUUUUAAAUCUGCUGAAGUUCUUACAUUUCUGAUUUAUAACUUCCCCCUCCUAACACUAAACUGAGUCCUCCACGGUGUCCAUAGUUUACCCCUAUAAGUUACUCUUGCCUCUUUGAGCACAGAUUCUUCCACACUGCUCUCUACCUG